UACAGGGAGGGGUUUUUGAGUCUGCUUUGGAGAUGGGGAUGUCCAAGAAGUGGCCCCUUAGGCCACACAAAAGCCAAGUGUCUCUUAUGAUCACAGUGCUGAGGCGCUCAGGGCAGAGCAGUCUUGGAGUGUAUUGUGUCACGUGGCUAUCGUGCAUUCUGUGUUUUUGGCUGUUUCAUGUCUUUUCCCUUAGCCCUUUGAAGGGCCUAACAGAAACCCUGGCAUCAUUCUUAGCAUCUGUGAUCUCUGCAUUUCUUGGCCUGGUACCAAUGCCAUAGGACUUUUGACUCGGGAGCUCAAACAGGCAUUGGAAUUGCAUUUCUCUUUAGGAGCAUCCGGUCUGAUGUCUUUGCAGGUCUUGUUCUGAGCAGUACGUACUGCUGUGCAUCGCAAGGAUCCAUUAUGGCAGAUUAGGGCUUGUAAGAAUACAAAGAUAGGUAGAGGAUUCUGGCCGUAGGAUUCUCAGACAUCCAUCUUUGUAGUUCUUGGAAUAAACCAUUGUCUUAGCAGGUUCUUCCUCCAGGGUUCUGUGAGCCUCAUCAGCGCACCAUCGGUCUCAUCUAUGUCCUCUCAUUUUGCAUUCUCUUGGUCCUUGCAGUCGUUCCUCUUGCCAAGAGAUUUCUGUCCCUGUUGUGUCCCCAUUGUUUGUCCUGUCCUGUUCUGUGUCACUGGUGUCUGCACGUGUUUGUGCCAGAGCUGCUCUGCCCUGCUGCAUAGUCUGGUGUGAUAUGACAAAUCCUGUGGGCUUGAAAUUUGUAGUGUGGGGUGUAGUUGGACUCUAGAUGAUAUUCCUAGGCUGACCCAGAUGGCUGGAGCUGUGAAGUGGUCCUGCAGCCCUUUGACAUUUGUCCUAACUUUCUUUCAGAUGCAGAUGGAUAAAAUCCAUGGCAGAGCACCCCAUCCCAGAAAGUAACGCUGAAUAUCAGCAGUCAAGGCGAGAUGGUCAAGGCAAUCCAUUUGGAGUAUGCAUAACUCCCCGUCACACACUGGCCGAUGCACUGUGAUCGUUGCUCUUGUGAGCCCUGUGGAAGUAUUACAGGACUUGGUGAUGAAGCCUCUGCCUUUCCUAUUUAAAUGUGUCACCCGGGUAGCCUUUGGCAAUGGCUGAGGAGUUGCAGUGAACCCUGCGAUGACGGCGUCAGCCUCCGAGCACAGAUGAAGCGUGCGGCAUUCAUAAGAGACCCAGGCAUUGCUCGGAGAACGAGACAACGGCCCGGUGACAGCAGGAACUUCCCAGAUGGCGAGGCGGCCUUCUUUUGCACCUGACACGGACCGGCAUCUCUACAGAUAAGUCGAUGGCUAUGACCCACAGAGGGGAUGAUAGUGGGGUGCUGGGUUGGGACUUACAGGGAGGGAUUUUUGAGUCUGCUUUGGUGAUGGGGAUGUCCAAGAAGUGGCCCCUUAGGCCACACAAAAGCCAAGCGUCACUUUUGAUCCCAGUGCUGAGGUGCGCAGGGCAGAGCAGUCCUGGAGUGUAUCGUGUCAGUUGUCUAUUGUGCGUUCUGUGUGUUUGGCUUUCUCAUGUCUUUUACCUUAGCCCUUUGAGGGGCCUAUCAGAAACCCUGGCAUCAUUCUUAGCAUCUGUGAUCUCUGCCUUUCUUGGCCUGGCACCAAUGCCACAGGACUUUUGACUCGGGAGCUCGGACAGGCUUCAGAAUUGCACCUCUCUUUAGAAGCAUCCAGUCAGAUGUCUUUGCAGGUCUUGUUCUGAGCUGUAUGGACAGCUGUGCCUUGCAAGGAUCUAUUAUUGGGGAUUAGGACUUGUAAGAAUGUGAGGAUAGGUAGAGGAUGCUGACCGUAGGAUUCACAGGCAUCCAUCUUUGCAGUUCUUAAAAGAAAUCAUUCAGUUAGCAUCAUUUUCCUCCACGGUUCUCUGAGCCUCAUCGGCUCACCAUCGGUCUCACCUAUGUCCUCUCAUUUUGCAUUCUCUGGGUCCUUGCAGUCAUUCCUCUUGCCAAGAGAUUUCUGUCCCUGUUGUGUCCCCAUUGUUUGUCCUGUCCUGUUCUGUGUCACUGGUGUCUGCACGUGUUUGUGCCAGAGCUGCUCUGCCCUGCUGCAUAGUCUGGUGUGAUAUGACAAAUCCUGUGGGCUUGAAAUUUGUAGUGUGGGGUGUAGUUGGACUCUAGAUGAUAUUCCUAGGCUGACCCAGAUGGCUGGAGCUGUGAAGUGGUCCUGCAGCCCUUUGACAUUUGUCCUAACUUUCUUUCAGAUGCAGAUGGAUAAAAUCCAUGGCAGAGCACCCCAUCCCAGAAAGUAACGCUGAAUAUCAGCAGUCAAGGCGAGAUGGUCAAGGCAAUCCAUUUGGAGUAUGCAUAACUCCCCGUCACACACUGGCCGAUGCACUGUGAUCGUUGCUCUCGUGAGCCCUGUGGAAGUAUUACAGGACUUGGUGAUGAAGCCUCUGCCUUUCCUAUUUAAAUGUGUCACCCGGGUAGCCUUUGGCAAUGGCUGAGGAGUUGCAGUGAACCCUGCGAUGACGGCGUCAGCCUCCGAGCACAGAUGAAGCGUGCGGCAUUCAUAAGAGACCCAGGCAUUGCUCGGAGAACGAGACAACGGCCCGGUGACAGCAGGAACUUCCCAGAUGGCGAGGCGGCCUUCUUUUGCACCUGACACGGACCGGCAUCUCUACAUAUAAGUCGAUGGCUAUGACCCACAGAGGGGAUGAUAGUGGGGUGCUGGGUUGGGACUUACAGGGAGGGAUUUUUGAGUCUGCUUUGGUGAUGGGGAUGUCCAAGAAGUGGCCCCUUAGGCCACACAAAAGCCAAGCGUCACUUUUGAUCCCAGUGCUGAGGUGCGCAGGGCAGAGCAGUCCUGGAGUGUAUCGUGUCAGUUGUCUAUUGUGCGUUCUGUGUGUUUGGCUUUCUCAUGUCUUUUACCUUAGCCCUUUGAGGGGCCUAUCAGAAACCCUGGCAUCAUUCUUAGCAUCUGUGAUCUCUGCCUUUCUUGGCCUGGCACCAAUGCCACAGGACUUUUGACUCGGGAGCUCGGACAGGCUUCAGAAUUGCACCUCUCUUUAGAAGCAUCCAGUCAGAUGUCUUUGCAGGUCUUGUUCUGAGCUGUAUGGACAGCUGUGCCUUGCAAGGAUCUAUUAUUGGGGAUUAGGACUUGUAAGAAUGUGAGGAUAGGUAGAGGAUGCUGACCGUAGGAUUCACAGGCAUCCAUCUUUGCAGUUCUUAAAAGAAAUCAUUCAGUUAGCAUCAUUUUCCUCCACGGUUCUCUGAGCCUCAUCGGCUCACCAUCGGUCUCACCUAUGUCCUCUCAUUUUGCAUUCUCUGGGUCCUUGCAGUCAUUCCUCUUGCCAAGAGAUUCCUGUCCCUGUUGUGUCCCCAUUGUUUGUCCUGUCCUGUUCUGUGUCACUGGUGUCUGCACGUGUUUGUGCCAGAGCUGCUCUGCCUUGCUGCAUAGUCUGGUGUAAUAGGACAAAUCCUGGGGGCUUGAAAUUUGUAGUGUGGGCUGUAGUUGGACUCUAGAUGAUAUUCCUAGGCUGACCCAGAUGGCUGGAGCUGUGAAGUGGUCCUGCAGCCCUUUGACAUUUGUCCUAAUUUUCUUUCAGAUGCAGAUGGAUAAAAUCCAUGGCAGAGCACCCCAUCCCAGGAAGUAAAGCAAUAUAGCAACAGUCAAGUUGAAGUGGUCAAGGUUAUGCCAAGCCCCUGUCACCAACUGGUCAAUGGACCAGGUUUGCUGCUCUCAUGAGCCUGUGGAGGUAUUGCGGGACCCUGCGAUGAAGCCUUCAAAUUUUCUAUUUAAAGGUUGCUUCUGGGUAGCCCUCAGGAAUGGCCAAGGAGCCAUGGCGUACCCAGCGACGACAGCGUCGGUCUCAGAGCACGGCCGAAGCGAGCGGGCCGAGGACCCGGUCAUUCUUAGGAGGCGUUGAGUAGCAGAAUUUUUGGGUUUUGGUCGAUAUGCUGCUAAGAUGAUGCACUGAUGUCUGGUUUCCUUUAUCUUGACCGACUAGGAGACAGCAGCCCGGUGACAGCAGGAACCUCCCAGACAGCCUGGUGGCCUUGCUUUGCACCUGAUGUGGAUUCUCAUUCCUGGACAGCCAAGAGAUAAGUUGAGGGCUGUGACUUACAGAGGGGAUGGAAGGGGGUUGCUGUGUCAGGACUCACCAGGAGGGAUUUUUGAGUCAGCUUUGGAGCUGAGGAUAUCCAGGAAAUGUUGUCUUGAGGCCACACAAAAGCAAAGUGUCACUUUUGGUCCCAGUGCUGAGCUGAGCAGAGGAGGGCAGUCCCGGUGUGUUUUGUCAUGUGGCUAUUGUGCAUUGUGUUGUGUGGCUGUCUCAUGUCUUUUACCUUAGCCCUUUGAGGGGCCUAUCAGUAACCCUGGCAUCAUUCUUAGCAUCUGUGAUCUCUGCAUUUCUUGGCCUGGCACCAAUGCCACAGGACAUUUGACUCAGGAACUUGGACAGGCAUUGGAAUUGAAUUUCUCUUUAGGAGCAUCCAAUCAGAUGUCUUUGCAGGUCUUGUUCUGAGCUGUACAUACUGCUGUGCAUUGCAAAGAUCCAUUAUGGCAGAUUAGGGCUUGUAAGAAUGCAAGGAUAGGUAGAGGAUUCUGGCCGUAGGAUUCUCAGACAUCCAUCUUUGUAGUUCUUGGAAUAAACCAUUCUCUUAGCAGAUUCUUCCUCCAGGGUUCUCUGAGCCUCAUCGGUCUCACCUCGGUCAUCUAAUCUUGCGUUCUCUCAGUCCUUGCAGUCAUUCUUGCCAAGAGAUUUCUGUCCUUGUUGUGUCCCCCUUGUUUCUUGUGUCCUGUCCUGUGUCACGGGUGUCUGCACAUAUUUGUACCGGAGCUGCUCUGCCCUGCUGCCUAGUCUGGUGUAAUAGGACAAAUCCUGGGGGCUUGAAGUUCGUAGUGUGGGCUGUAGUUGGAUUAUAGAUGGGAUUUGUAGAUGGACCCAAGAUGUCUGGAGCUGUGAAGUUAUCCUGCAGCCCUUUGACAUUUGUCCUCACUUGCUUUUAGAUACAGGCGGAUAAAAUCCAUGGCAGAUCACCCCAUCCCAGGAAGUAAAACCACAUAUCAGAAGUCAAGGCGGGGUGGUCAAGGCAAUCCAUUUGGAGUAUGCAUAACUCCCCAUCACACACUGGCCGAUGGACUGUGAUCGUUGCUCUCGUGAGCCCUGUGGAAGUAUUACAGGACUUGGUGAUGAAGCCUCUGCCUUUCCUAUUUAAAUGUGUCACCCGGGUAGCCUUUGGCUGUGGCUGAGGAGUUGCAGUGGACCCUGCAAUGACGGCGUCAGCCUCCGAGCGCAGCCGAUGCGUGCAGCAUUCAUAAGAGACCCAGGCAUUGCUCGGAGAACGAGACAACAGCCCGGUGACAGCAGGAACUUCCCAGAUGGCGAGGCGGCCUUCUUUUGCAUCUGACACGGACCGGCAUCUCUACAGAUAAGUCGAUGGCUAUGACCCACAGAGGGGAUGAUAGUGGGGUGCUGGGUUGGGACUCACAGGAGGGUUUUUUGAGUCUGCUUUGGAGUUGGGGAUGUCCAAGAAGUGGCCCCUUAGGCCACACAAAAGCCAAGCGUCACUUUUGAUCACAAUGCUGAGGUGCUCAGGGCAGAGCAGUCCCGGAGGGUAUCGUGUCAGUUGUCUAUUGUGCGUUCUGUGUGUUUGGCUUUCUCAUGUCUUUUCCCUUAGCCCUUUGAGGGGCCUAUCAGAAACUCUGGCAUCAUUCUUAGCAUCUGUGAUCUCUGCAUUUCUUGGCCUGGCACCAAUGCCACAGGACUUUUGACUCGGGAGCUCGGACAGGCUUCAGAAUUGCACCUCUCUUUAGGAGCAUCCAGUCAGAUAUCUUUGCAGGUCUUGUUCUGAGCUGUAUUUACCUUGCAAGGAUCCAUUAUGGCAGAUUAGGGCUUGUAAGAAUGCAAAGAUAGUGAGAGGAUGCUGACCGUAGGAUUCUCAGACAUCCAUCUUUGUAGUUCUUGGAAUAAACCAUUCUCUUAGCAGAUUCUUCCUCCAGGGUUCUCUGAGCCUCAUCAGCUCGCCAUCAAUCUCAUCUCGGUCAUCUAAUCUUGCGUUCUCUCAGUCCUUGCAGUCAUUUUUCUUGCCAAGACAUUCCUGUCCCUGUUGUGUCCCCCUUGUUUGUCAUGUCCUGUCCUGUGUCACGGGUGUCUGCACAUAUUUGUGCCGGAGCUGCUCUGCCCUGCUGCAUAGUCUGGUGUAAUAGGACAAAUCCUGGGGGCUUGAAAUUUGUAGUGUGGGGUGUUGUUGGAUUAUAGGUGGGAUUUGUAGAUGGACACAGGGUGCCUGGAGCAGUGAAAUUAUCCUGCAGCCCUUUGACAUUUGUCCUGACUUUCUUUCAGAUGCAGGCAGAUAAAAUCCGUGACAGAGCACCCCAUCCUGGCUGAGGGGGUUCCUCCGAGCAGGUCAUUCACCGUUUGUCUCUGCAGGGGAAGUGUAAAUGGUGACUCUUACAGCACUGUUCUUUGGUUUUGUUUUUAGGAAGUAAAGCUGGAUAUCAGCAGUCAAGGCAAUCCAUUUGGAGUAGGCCGAGCCCCCCCACCCCCCAACCGGCCGAUGGAUCGGGUUUGCUGCUCUUGCGAGCCCUGUGGAGGAUCGCAGGACUCUGCGAUGAAGCCCUGAACCUUUCUGUUUACAGGUGCCAUCCGGCUGGCCUUUGGCAGCCGCCGAGGAGUUGCGGCACACCCUGCCACGAUGGCAUCGGCCUCCAAGCGUCGCUGAAGCUAAUGGCAUUAGGAGAUGCUAUGAGGCAGCAGCCCAGUGACAGCGAGAACUUCCCAGAUGGCAAGGCGGCCUUCUUUUGCACCUGAUGCAGAUUGGCAUCCCCAGAUGUCUGAGAGAUAAGUCAAGGGCUACGACUUGCCGAGGGGGUGAAUGCGGGGUGCUGGGUUGGGACUCACCGGGAGGGGUUUUUGAGUCUGCUUUGGGGCUGAGGCUAUCCAAGUAGUGUCCCCUUAGGCCACAUAAAGGGAAAGUGUCACUUUUGAUCCCAGCGCUGAGGUGCGCAGGGUAGAGCAGCCCCAGUGUGUAUCGUGUCACUUGUCUAACGUGCCUGGUGUUGUUUAUAUGUCUCAUGUCAUGCAUCGUCUACCUUAGCCCUUUGAGGGGCCCAUCAGAAACCCUGGCAUCAUUCUUAGCGUCUGUGAUCUCUGCAUUUCUUGGCCUGGCACAAAUGCAGUAGGACUUUUGGCUCAGGAGCUCAGACAGGCAUCAGAAUUGCAUUUCUCUUUAGGAGCAUCCAGUCAGAUGUCUUUGCGGGUCUUGUUCUGAGCCGUACGUACUGCUGCGCAUCGCAAGGAUCCAUUAUGGCAGAUUAGGGCUUGUAAGAAUGCAAAGACAGGUAGAGGAUUCUGCCCGUAGGAUUCUCAGACGUCCAUCUUUGCAGUUCUUUGACGAAAUCAUUCUCUUAGGAGAUACUUCCUCCAUGGUUGUCUGAGCCUCAUCACCUCACUGUCAAUCUCACCUCAGUCAUUUCAUUUUCCAUUCUCUCAGUCCUUGCAGUCAUUCUUCUUGUCAAGAGAUAGUAGUCCCCGUUGUGUCCUCAUUGUUUGUCCUGUCCCGUGUCACGGGCGUUCGCACACGUUUGUGCCGGAGCUGCUCUGCCCUGCCGCGUAGCCUGGUGUAAUAGGACACAUCCUGGGGGCUUGAAAUUUGUAAUGUGGGGUGUAGUUGGAUUCUAGAUGGUAUUCCUAGGUUGACUCUAGGAAGUUGUCUGGAGCUGUGAAGUUAUCCUGCUGCCCUUUGAACUUUGUCCUGACUCUGUUUCAGAUGCAGACAGAUAAAAUCCACGGCAGAACUCCCUAUCCCAGGAAGUAAAGCCAUCUAGCAGCAGUCAAGGCAAAGUGGUCGAGGCAGUCCACUUUCAAUCCGUGCCGGCUGAGGAUGCCCGAUGCCAGGUACCUUCCAGGCAGACUCUGGAGUCAAAUCAAGAUUUGAGGUACCACGAGGAGCUUCGUAGGCAAAGUUUGGAGAGAGCACCACCGAAGCACACGAGACCGUCUCAACGUCCACGUCCCACCGGGGAUGGAUUUUGUCAGCUCGUCAUCCAAAAGCUGAGUGUUGGGGUCCAUAGUUGGGAGAAGGGGAAAAACCUUUACUAUCACAGGAGGCCAUGUGAUGUUAGCUUAGCGGAGCAAUCCGUAGCGGAACAGGUCCCUCGGAUGUAAAGGGAGAGGGUUUCUCCUCGGCCUCACCAGAGCCUUUGCCGGGCAGGGCAGUUCCGACCCGUCUCCGCGUUCUCGCGAACUUUGCGUCGUCAGCCUCCUUCGACCCUCGACAUCGUCGUGGAUCUUUCUCCCGAGGAGCUCGCCUUCGGGUCCGGAGCUAUAGCCACCGUCACCCGGCAGUCUUUGCUUCCUUCUCUAGGCCCACCGAGCCUCUCGAGCAUCCUCUUAACUGCUUUGGCACUAACUUCUUUUAAGGAGUUGCAUUUCAUCGUCACACGCUAUUGCCAUAGGACUCGCUUUACUUUGGCAUCUUUGGCCUCUGGCUCAUCUUGCGCUAGGAAUCUUGAGUCCAUAAGGUGAAACUGCUAGGCAGUUUCCACCUGUGUCUGUGUUAUGUCAGCUGUGUCUGUGUUACGUUGUCUGUGUCCAUCGUCUUCCGUGUCGUAGGCCUUUGUUACAUCUCGACGCCAUAUCGGCCUCAUUCCGUGCCGUAUCGGCCAUAUUUUACUCGCGUUCCUUCCCGGACAUCGCUUAUUCUGCCAUCUCUCUUUUGAGACACAAAGUAGUACACAAGAGGUUCUCAUCAGUCUUCCGUCUCAGCUGCGGUCCCUGAGGCGACCGAUUUUCCUGGAAUCUACCAUUUGACGUGAAGGAGCAGCAGCCAGAUGACACGUCGAAGCACGUUCAUGGUUUCAAGUAGGGCUGCAGCGAGCAUUUAAGUCGAAGAGCAUGCGAGUCUGCGUGAGUGUGAGCGACCGUCUGCGUCCGCUUGUCUCUGCGUGUGCGAGUGUAUGCUGACCAGAUCUAACCUUGUGCGUGUGACGUUUGCCUUUCAGGUUUUUCAACACAUUUUAAAAUUUAGAAUAAAAAAUCCCCAGCCGGGGGGUUUUUUUUUUUCCCCCCCCCGGCUGGGUUUUUUUUUCCUCGGUCCCGGCCGGUCCGCGAGGCGACGUUCAUCGCCAAAGUUUGGGGGCGGACCGUCCCGGGACCGGGGUUUUUGUCAGGCAGGAGGAUUUUUUUGGAGGCUCCCGGGAACCACGUUCCCGAGGAGCGGCACGAAUGCGUGCCGGGGGUCAGCAGGGCGGUUGAGGUGCGAGCGAGGGUGGGUUUGUGUGUAAGCUGAAGGAGAGCUGUGGGUGCGUGUGUUGAUGACUGGUUCUAACCUUGUGUGUAUGACUUUUUCCUUUCAGGUUUUUCAACACAUUUUAAAAUUUAGAAUAAAAAAUCCCCAGCCGGGGGGGUUUUUUUUUUUUCCCCCCCGGCUGGGUUUUUUUUUCCUCGGUCCCGGCCGGUCCGCGAGGCGACGUUCAUCGCCAAAGUUUGGGGGCGGACCGUCCCGGGACCGGGGUUUUUGUCAGGCAGGAGGAUUUUUUUGGAGGCUCCCGGGAACCACGUUCCCGAGGAGCGGCACGAAUGCGUGCCGGGGGUCAGCAGGGCGGUUGAGGUGCGAGCGAGGGUGGGUUUGUGUGUAAGCUGAAGGAGAGCUGUGGGUGCGUGUGUUGAUGACUGGUUCUAACCUUGUGUGUAUGACUUUUUCCUUUCAGGUUUUUCAACACAUUUUAAAAUUUAGAAUAAAAAAUCCCCAGCCGGGGGGGUUUUUUUUUUUUUCCCCCCCGGCUGGGUUUUUUUUUCCUCGGUCCCGGCCGGUCCGCGAGGCGACGUUCAUCGCCAAAGUUUGGGGGCGGACCGUCCCGGGACCGGGGUUUUUGUCAGGCAGGAGGAUUUUUUUGGAGGCUCCCGGGAACCACGUUCCCGAGGAGCGGCACGAAUGCGUGCCGGGGGUCAGCAGGGCGGUUGAGGUGCGAGCGAGGGUGGGUUUGUGUGUAAGCUGAAGGAGAGCUGUGGGUGCGUGUGUUGAUGACUGGUUCUAACCUUGUGUGUAUGACUUUUUCCUUUCAGGUUUUUCAACACAUUUUAAAAUUUAGAAUAAAAAAUCCCCAGCCGGGGGGUUUUUUUUUUUUCCCCCCGGCUGGGUUUUUUUUUCCUCGGUCCCGGCCGGUCCGCGAGGCGACGUUCAUCGCCAAAGUUUGGGGGCGGACCGUCCCGGGACCGGGGUUUUUGUCAGGCAGGAGGAUUUUUUUGGAGGCUCCCGGGAACCACGUUCCCGAGGAGCGGCACGAAUGCGUGCCGGGGGUCAGCAGGGCGGUUGAGGUGCGAGCGAGGAUGGGUUUGUGUGUAAUGUGAAGGAGGUGUUCACAAUGGAUGUGUGUUGCGUUCUGUGUGCUGCCUUUGUUUUGGGGUUCCUGUAACAAUAAAUCCAAGUGUAAUGAAAGUAGAAAAAAGGUUGUCAUCUUGUGUUAAUAUGUGUUUGGCUUAUGUUUGGUGUUGUCUUGUAUUUGCAUUUCUGUAUAUUGCUCUGUAUGUAAAUUGGACUUUUACCAGCAUGUGUAUGGAUUGUAUGUGUACUCACAUUUGUAUACACUCUUUCCAUGUGUUUUGCUCAAGUGUAAAUAGGAAAAUUCAUUUAAUAAAGUUGCAUCAACCUGAAUAAAGAUUCCCCCAACCCCCCCUUGGCUC